rnacentral:rRNA from 1 species
UACGGAGGGUGCAAGCGUUAUCCGGAUUCACUGGGGUUAAAGGGUGCGUAGGUGGGUCUGUAAGUCAGUGGUGAAAUCUCCAAGCUUAACUUGGAAACUGCCGUUGAUACUAUAGACCUUGAAUGCUGUGGAGGUGAGCGGAAUAUGUCAUGUAGCGGUGAAAUGCUUAGAUAUGACAUAGAACACCAAUUGCGAAGGCAGCUCACUACCCAGAUAUUGACACUGAGGCACGAAAGCGUGGGGAUCAAACAGG